rnacentral:tRNA from 1 species
GCCUUCGUGGUGUAGUGGUCAGCCCGCUUGACGCAUAUUCGAGAUGUUUGUGGUUCGAGUCCCGGCGAAGACA